AUAUCAAUAUGCGGAGGAAAAGAAACCAACAGGGAUUACCUCAGUAACGGCGAGUGAAGCGGUAACAGCUCAAAUUUGAAAGCUAGCUCUUUUAGGGUUCGCAUUGUAAUUUGUAGAAGAUGCUUCGGGUGUGGCCCCGGUCUAAGUUCCUUGGAACAGGACGUCAUAGAGGGUGAGAAUCCCGUAUGUGACUGGGUGCUUUCGCUCAUGUGAAGCUCUUUCGACGAGUCGAGUUGUUUGGGAAUGCAGCUCAAAAUGGGUGGUAAAUUUCAUCUAAAGCUAAAUAUUGGCCAGAGACCGAUAGCGCACAAGUAGAGUGAUCGAAAGAUGAAAAGCACUUUGGAAAGAGAGUUAAACAGUACGUGAAAUUGUUGAAAGGGAAGCGCUUGCAACCAGACUUGCGCGCUGAUGAUCAUCCGGGCUUCUGCCCGGUGCACUCGUCUGCGCUCAGGCCAGCAUCGGUUUCGGUGGUGGGAUAAAGGCCUUGGGAAUGUGGCUCCUCUCGGGGAGUGUUAUAGCCCUCGGUGCAAUGCCGCCUACCGGGACCGAGGACCGCGCUUCGGCUAGGAUGCUGGCGUAAUGGUUGUAAGCGA
rnacentral:rRNA from 1 species